UCAUUAACUCCGCCUGUAGCUCUUCAAGAGUUACUGCCGGUCCCAACCCCGGGUAUAGGAGGAGGGUUGA
rnacentral:ribozyme from 2 species